GGUUAAGCGACUAAGCGUACACGGUGGAUGCCCUGGCAGUCAGAGGCGAUGAAGGACGUGCUAAUCUGCGAUAAGCGUCGGUAAGGUGAUAUGAACCGUUAUAACCGGCGAUUUCCGAAUGGGGAAACCCAGUGUGUUUCGACACACUAUCAUUAACUGAAUCCAUAGGUUAAUGAGGCGAACCGGGGGAACUGAAACAUCUAAGUACCCCGAGGAAAAGAAAUCAACCGAGAUUCCCCCAGUAGCGGCGAGCGAACGGGGAGGAGCCCAGAGCCUGAAUCAGUGUGUGUGUUAGUGGAAGCGUCUGGAAAGGCGCGCGAUACAGGGUGACAGCCCCGUACACAAAAAUGCACAUAUUGUGAGCUCGAUGAGUAGGGCGGGACACGUGGUAUCCUGUCUGAAUAUGGGGGGACCAUCCUCCAAGGCUAAAUACUCCUGACUGACCGAUAGUGAACCAGUACCGUGAGGGAAAGGCGAAAAGAACCCCGGCGAGGGGAGUGAAAAAGAACCUGAAACCGUGUACGUACAAGCAGUGGGAGCACGCUUAGGCGUGUGACUGCGUACCUUUUGUAUAAUGGGUCAGCGACUUAUAUUCUGUAGCAAGGUUAACCGAAUAGGGGAGCCGAAGGGAAACCGAGUCUUAACUGGGCGUUAAGUUGCAGGGUAUAGACCCGAAACCCGGUGAUCUAGCCAUGGGCAGGUUGAAGGUUGGGUAACACUAACUGGAGGACCGAACCGACUAAUGUUGAAAAAUUAGCGGAUGACUUGUGGCUGGGGGUGA
rnacentral:rRNA from 1 species